AGGGGUUAACCUAAAAAAAAGGGGCGGGUUUGCAUUCAUUUAAUGUGAGAAGAAUCCUUGCAACCCUUA
rnacentral:tRNA from 1 species